rnacentral:rRNA from 1 species
CCUACGGGUGGCAGCAGUGAGGAAUAUUGGUCAAUGGGCGCGAGUCUGAACCAGCCAAGUAGCGUGAAGGCUGACUGCCCUACGGGUUGUAAACUUCUUUUAUAUAGGAAUAAAGUGUUCCACGUGUGGGAUUUUGUAUGUACCAUAUGAAUAAGGAUCGGCUAACUCCGUGCCAGCAGCCGCGGUAAUACGGAGGAUCCGAGCGUUAUCCGGAUUUAGUGGAUUUACAGGGAGCGUAGGUGGGUUGUUAAGUCAGUUGUGAACGUUUGCGGCUCAACCGUAAAAUUGCAGUUGAUACUGGCAGGCUGGGUUACCGUAGAGGUGGGCGGAAUACGUGGUGGAGCGGUGAAAUGCUUAGA